rnacentral:rRNA from 1 species
GACGAACGCUGGCGGCGUGCUUAACACAUGCAAGUCGAACGAUGAUGCCCAGCUUGCUGGGUGGAUUAGUGGCGAACGGGUGAGUAACACGUGAGUAACCUGCCCCUGACUCUGGGAUAAGCGUUGGAAACGACGUCUAAUACUGGAUAUGAUCACCGGCCGCAUGGUCUGGUGGUGGAAAGAUUUUUUGGUUGGGGAUGGACUCGCGGCCUAUCAGCUUGUUGGUGAGGUAAUGGCUCACCAAGGCGACGACGGGUAGCCGGCCUGAGAGGGUGACCGGCCACACUGGGACUGAGACACGGCCCAGACUCCUACGGGAGGCAGCAGUGGGGAAUAUUGCACAAUGGGCGAAAGCCUGAUGCAGCAACGCCGCGUGAGGGAUGACGGCCUUCGGGUUGUAAACCUCUUUUAGUAGGGAAGAAGCGAAAGUGACGGUACCUGCAGAAAAAGCACCGGCUAACUACGUGCCAGCAGCCGCGGUAAUACGUAAGGUGCAAGCGUUGUCCGGAAUUAUUGGGCGUAAAGAGCUCGUAGGCGGUUUGUCGCGUCUGCUGUGAAAUCCCGAGGCUCAACCUCGGGCUUGCAGUGGGUACGGGCAGACUAGAGUGCGGUAGGGGAGAUUGGAAUUCCUGGUGUAGCGGUGGAAUGCGCAGAUAUCAGGAGGAACACCGAUGGCGAAGGCAGAUCUCUGGGCCGUAACUGACGCUGAGGAGCGAAAGCGUGGGGAGCGAACAGGAUUAGAUACCCUGGUAGUCCACGCCGUAAACGUUGGGCGCUAGAUGUAGGGACCUUUCCACGGUUUCUGUGUCGUAGCUAACGCAUUAAGCGCCCCGCCUGGGGAGUACGGCCGCAAGGCUAAAACUCAAAGGAAUUGACGGGGGCCCGCACAAGCGGCGGAGCAUGCGGAUUAAUUCGAUGCAACGCGAAGAACCUUACCAAGGCUUGACAUACACCGGAAACGGCCAGAGAUGGUCGCCCCCUUGUGGUCGGUGUACAGGUGGUGCAUGGUUGUCGUCAGCUCGUGUCGUGAGAUGUUGGGUUAAGUCCCGCAACGAGCGCAACCCUCGUUCUAUGUUGCCAGCGCGUUAUGGCGGGGACUCAUAGGAGACUGCCGGGGUCAACUCGGAGGAAGGUGGGGAUGACGUCAAAUCAUCAUGCCCCUUAUGUCUUGGGCUUCACGCAUGCUACAAUGGCCGGUACAAAGGGCUGCGAUACCGUAAGGUGGAGCGAAUCCCAAAAAGCCGGUCUCAGUUCGGAUUGAGGUCUGCAACUCGACCUCAUGAAGUCGGAGUCGCUAGUAAUCGCAGAUCAGCAACGCUGCGGUGAAUACGUUCCCGGGCCU